CCUACGGGGGGCAGCAGUGGGGAAUAUUGGGCAAUGGGCGCAAGCCUGACCCAGCAACGCCGCGUGAAGGAAGAAGGCUUUCGGGUUGUAAACUUCUUUUAUGAGGGACGAAACAAAUGACGGUACCUCAUGAAUAAGCCACGGCUAACUACGUGCCAGCAGCCGCGGUAAUACGUAGGUGGCAAGCGUUAUCCGGAUUUACUGGGUGUAAAGGGCGUGUAGGCAGGACUGCAAGUCAGAUGUGAAAAUUAUGGGCUCAACCCAUAACCUGCAUUUGAAACUGUAGUUCCUGAGUGAUGGAGAGG
rnacentral:rRNA from 1 species